CUAGUUAUUUUAUGGCUUAAUUUCUGAGACAGAAUUAAAAUAAGACGCCACCAAUAAAGCUAAGGGUAUAAAGCAGCACAGCCAUCUCAACAAGACAUAAUGAAACAGUGAUUUCACAGUUUAAAAAAAUUGAAACAGAUGAAAGCAUUCUAUCAUCCUGACAACACUAUAAAGCAAUCUGCAGACAGAUCCAUGCAGUAACUGUCUUACCGUCCACAGCCCAGCAAAAACAAAGGGAAGGGACCAUGAGACGUGGAGUGACGGCUACACAGUUUGCCUGUGGAAUCCAGUGCUCCAUCCACUGUGGCUCUUAGAUGAUCACGAACUCUUAAGUUAUAAAUAGCAGGAAAGCGGCAUCUGUCACAACACAUGGAUGGCUACUGCAAAAGGAAACCAGGAAAUAGCUCGGCACCACUUUCUAAGUGGUACCAAGUCUGAGAGAGAUGCCAACAUUAUCGUGAAGGUGCUGUUAAAAGCCUAGACUUUUACUUAAAGCCUACAACGUACCAUGUCCCAGACUAGUAGUCACAGUACUGUUGCCCAAGUCCAUCUAAUGUGCUAGCAGACAUAAGGCUGCUGUUAAAAGCUCCGGAUAGCUUCCCUUUCGAGAGAAACCUGCAGCGCCAGCAACGCACUCAUGGGCUUUCCUGAAUCACCUAACAGGUGCAACCCUCGACUGAUGCCUUCGUUUUGUAAAUGCUCAAAUGACCUACAACACUGCUCCCAAUUUUAACUUACAACGUGCUAUUGCCUACAGGCGGUAUACAAUUAUGUGACAAAUUCUGAGUGACUCAUUAUACACAGGGAAGGCAAUGGGGGUGGAGGCUAUUUAACUUUCACGGCAUUAAAGAAAACAGUGCAGAAAUAUUAUAGCCAGGCAGUUUUGAUUUUCCUCCUCUGGAAAGCAUCUAUGCUCCACUAAAUCUCUACAUUUUAAAGUGAUUAUGCUAUUUUCUGCCUGAAAUUUAAAACCACUUUUACUUAUUGACUGCCUGUAUUUCCAAAAGUAAUUUACAGAAAGCAAUUAAACUUAAACUUUAAAUCAUAUAGGCUUCACUCCCUUUAAAGUUUCCAAAUGAACCAUAAGGGUAUUUGUGAUCUGAAUGCCACAAUAAAACACAAAAGUCACAGGGCAGAGUAAUUCUUUACACCUGUACCUUCCAAAUAAGAAAGUACAGAACACAUUAAAAGCAGUGAUUCUGUGCAUAAGUUACAUUGUAUUAUGGCUGUUUUAAAUCCCUAAAG